rnacentral:rRNA from 1 species
UACGUAGGGGGCUAGCGUUGUCCGGAUUUAUUGGGCGUAAAGAGCGUGUAGGCGGCCAGGUAGGUCUGCUGUGAAAACUCGAGGCUUAACCUCGAGAUGUCGGUGGAAACCAUCUGGCUAGAGUCCGGAAGAGGAGAGUGGAAUUCCUGGUGUAGCGGUGAAAUGCGCAGAUAUCUGGAGGAACACCGGUGGCGAAGGCGGGUCAUCGGCGAGA